rnacentral:rRNA from 1 species
ACGCUGGCGGCGUGCCUAAUACAUGCAAGUAGAACGCUGAAGAGAGGAGCUUGCUCUUCUUGGAUGAGUUGCGAACGGGUGAGUAACGCGUAGGUAACCUGCCUUGUAGCGGGGGAUAACUAUUGGAAACGAUAGCUAAUACCGCAUAACAAUGGAUGACACAUGUCAUUUAUUUGAAAGGGGCAAUUGCUCCACUACAAGAUGGACCUGCGUUGUAUUAGCUAGUAGGUGAGGUAACGGCUCACCUAGGCGACGAUACAUAGCCGACCUGAGAGGGUGAUCGGCCACACUGGGACUGAGACACGGCCCAGACUCCUACGGGAGGCAGCAGUAGGGAAUCUUCGGCAAUGGGGGCAACCCUGACCGAGCAACGCCGCGUGAGUGAAGAAGGUUUUCGGAUCGUAAAGCUCUGUUGUAAGUCAAGAACGAGUGUGAGAGUGGAAAGUUCACACUGUGACGGUAGCUUACCAGAAAGGGACGGCUAACUACGUGCCAGCAGCCGCGGUAAUACGUAGGUCCCGAGCGUUGUCCGGAUUUAUUGGGCGUAAAGCGAGCGCAGGCGGUUUGAUAAGUCUGAAGUUAAAGGCUGUGGCUUAACCAUAGUUCGCUUUGGAAACUGUUUAACUUGAGUGCAAGAGGGGAGAGUGGAAUUCCAUGUGUAGCGGUGAAAUGCGUAGAUAUAUGGAGGAACACCGGUGGCGAAAGCGGCUCUCUGGUCUGUAACUGACGCUGAGGCUCGAAAGCGUGGGGAGCGAACAGGAUUAGAUACCCUGGUAGUCCACGCCGUAAACGAUGAGUGCUAGGUGUUGGAUCCUUUCCGGGAUUCAGUGCCGCAGCUAACGCAUUAAGCACUCCGCCUGGGGAGUACGACCGCAAGGUUGAAACUCAAAGGAAUUGACGGGGGCCCGCA